rnacentral:misc_RNA from 1 species
GAAAUGCGAUAAGUAAUGUGAAUUGCAGAAUUCAGUGAAUCAUCGAAUCUUUGGACGCACAUUGCGCCCGCCAGAAUUCUGGCGGGCAUGCCUGUUCGAGCGUCAUUUCAACCCUCGAGCUCCCCUUUCGGGGGGAGCCCGGCGUUGGGGACCCGGCGCUAACAACGCCGGCCCCGAAAUGGAGUGGCGGCCCGUCCGCGGCGACCUCUGCGUAGUAACAACCACUCGCACCGGGACCCGGGCGCGGCCACGCCGUAAAACACCCCACCUUCCGAAUGUUGACCUCGAAUCAGGUAGGAAUACCCGCUGAACUUAAGC